AGAGUUUGAUCCUGGCUCAGAUUGAACGCUGGCGGCAGGCUUAACACAUGCAAGUCGAGCGGAGAUGAGGUGCUUGCACCUUAUCUUAGCGGCGGACGGGUGAGUAAUGCUUAGGAAUCUGCCAUUUAGUGGGGGACAACAUUCCGAAAGGAAUGCUAAUACCGCAUACGUCCUACGGGAGAAAGCAGGGGAUCUUCGGACCUUGCGCUAAAUGAUGAGCCUAAGUCGGAUUAGCUAGUUGGUGGGGUAAAGGCCUACCAAGGCGACGAUCUGUAGCGGGUCUGAGAGGAUGAUCCGCCACACUGGGACUGAGACACGGCCCAGACUCCUACGGGAGGCAGCAGUGGGGAAUAUUGGACAAUGGGCGGAAGCCUGAUCCAGCCAUGCCGCGUGUGUGAAGAAGGCCUUUUGGUUGUAAAGCACUUUAAGCGAGGAGGAGGCUCUUCUAGUUAAUACCUAGGAUGAGUGGACGUUACUCGCAGAAUAAGCACCGGCUAACUCUGUGCCAGCAGCCGCGGUAAUACAGAGGGUGCGAGCGUUAAUCGGAUUUACUGGGCGUAAAGCGUGCGUAGGCGGCUGAUUAAGUCGGAUGUGAAAUCCCUGAG
rnacentral:rRNA from 1 species